CACAAUGAAUAAUACCACUUGGAAACCACAAGUCAACAUAAUAAGUUUAUUGCAUGAGAUUAUCUACAUGAUGUCAUUUCAUAUGUCUCUCUAUCGUGCAUUGCACAAAUGAAACUACUAAGUAGUAGACAUGCAUACAUACAUAAACUAAAAAUACACAACCAUCACCUAUAUGCAUAUACCAAUAGUCCAACACUAGACCCUUUUUUAUGAACACACAUUUGUUUUCUCGAUU
rnacentral:lncRNA from 1 species